rnacentral:rRNA from 1 species
GAUGAACGCUGGCGGCGUGCCUAAUACAUGCAAGUCGAGCGAACAGACGAGGAGCUUGCUCCUCUGACGUUAGCGGCGGACGGGUGAGUAACACGUGGAUAACCUACCUAUAAGACUGGGAUAACUUCGGGAAACCGGAGCUAAUACCGGAUAAUAUAUUGAACCGCAUGGUUCAAUAGUGAAAGACGGUUUUGCUGUCACUUAUAGAUGGAUCCGCGCCGCAUUAGCUAGUUGGUAAGGUAACGGCUUACCAAGGCAACGAUGCGUAGCCGACCUGAGAGGGGGAUCGGCCACACUGGAACGGAGACACGGUCCAGACGCCUAAGGGAGGCAGCAGUAGGGAAUCUUCCGCAAUGGGCGAAAGCCUGACGGAGCAACGCCGCGUGAGUGAUGAAGGUCUUCGGAUCGUAAAACUCUGUUAUUAGGGAAGAACAAAUGUGUAAGUAACUAUGCACGUAUUGACGGUACCUAAUCAGAAAGCCACGGCUAACUACGUG